AUUGAACGCUGGCGGCAGGCCUAACACAUGCAAGUCGCACGAGUGGCGGACGUGUGAGUAAUGUCUGGGCAACUGACUGAUGGAGGGGGAUAACUACUGGAAACGGUAGCUAAUACCGCAUACCAUCGGAUGUGCCCAGAUGGGAGUAGUUAGUAGGUGGGGUAAAGGCUCACCUAGGCGACGAUCCCUAGCUGGUCUGAGAGGAUGACCAGCCACACUGUAACUGAGACAUGGGACAGACUCCUACGGGAGGCAGCAGUGGGGAAUAUUGCACAAUGGGCGCAAGCCUGAUGCAGCCAUGCCGCGUGUAGGAAGAAGGCCUUGGGGUUGUAAAGUACUUUCAGCGGGGAGGCGUUACCCGCAGAAGAAGCACCGGCUAACGACGUGCCAGCAGCCGCGGUAAUAC
rnacentral:rRNA from 1 species